rnacentral:lncRNA from 1 species
CCGGCAGCUCCCGGAGCUGCUCCAGGCCUGGAGCCCCUCGGUUCCCGGGGAUCCAGCCCGGGAGAGCCGGGAAUGCUCCCCUGGAGAAGGGAAAGCUCCUCUGCGUUCACUCGGCUGCCACAGCACGGCUGCAGGUGCAGGAACGAACCAUUCCCGUUCCCACACUGCCAGAAACUCGGGGAAAUCACGGCAUUCAGCAAUCCGGUGCUAAUUUAAAACCCAAGGAUGUUUCAAUAUCCAGCAAAAACCCCGCAGGCAAUCCCGUCCCCAGGAGCCACCAGAGCCCCCUCAAACAGGAAUUCCGUGUUUAUUCCAGGGAUAUCCGGCUGAAGGGAGAGGGAAGAGGGAGGGAUAAGGAGGGAGAGGGGUCGGAGGUGACGGUGACACGGAGCUGGGCGCUCCUGGAAAUGCUCCCCUGCAGCAGCUUCAGCUUCCUCUGCCAGGAACAGAUGGAGGCACUGCCAUGGAUCCGUGUCCUGCCAGCUGGAUCCCAUCUUAUCCCACCUUUUCCAGCUGGAUCCCACCUUAUCCCACCUUUUCCAGCUGGAUCCCAUGUCAUCCCUCAUUUUCCAGCUGGAUCCCAUCUCAUCCCUCAUUUUCCAGCUGGAUCCCAUCUCAUCCCCCCUUUUCCAGCUGGAUCCCAUCUUAUCCCUCAUUUUCCAGCUGGAUCCCAUCUUAUCCCUCCUCUCCCAGAUGGAUCCUUCCUUUUCCAGCUGGAUCCCAUCUCAUCCCACCUUUUCCAGCUGGAUCCCAUCUCAUCCCUCAUUUUCCAGCUGGAUCCGACCUUGUCCCACCUUUUCCAGCUGGAUCCCUCCUCUCCCAGCUGGAUCCCACCUUGUCCCCCCUUUUCCAGCUGGAUCCCAUCUUAUCCCUCCUCUCCCGGUUUGGAUCCCACACCGAUUCCCUGCUCCCAGUUUGGAUCCCACACUGAUUCCCUGAUCCCAGCUGGAUUCCACACUGAUUCCCUGAUCCCAGCUGGAUCCCACACUGAUUCCCUGAUCCCAGCUUGGAUCCCACACCGAUUCCCUGCUCCCAGCUGGAUCCCACACCGAUUCCCUGAUCCCAGCUGGAUCCCACACCGAUUCCCUGAUCCCAGUUUGGAUCCCACACCGAUUCCCUGCUCCCAGCUGUGCCCCCACCUUGUCCCACCCC